rnacentral:rRNA from 1 species
GCAUAACGCGAAGAACCUUACCAAGGCUUGACAUCCCCUUGACCGGCACAGAGAUGUGCCCUCUCCUUCGGGAGCAAGGGUGACAGGUGGUGCAUGGUUGUCGUCAGCUCGUGUCGUGAGAUGUUGGGUUAAGUCCCGCAACGAGCGCAACCCUUAUCCUUAGUUGCCAGCACAUAAUGGUGGGCACUCUAGGGAGACUGCCGAUGAUAAAUCGGAGGAAGGUGGGGAUGACGUCAAAUCAUCAUGCCCCUUAUGAUCUGGGCUACACACGUGCUACAAUGGUGAUAACAAAGUGAAGCAGCCUCGUGAGAGUGAGCAAAUCACAAAAAAGUCAUCUCAGUUCGGAUUGUAGUCUGCAACUCGACUACAUGAAGCUGGAAUCGCUAGUAAUCGCAAAUCAGCAGGUUGCGGUGAAUACGUUCCCGGGGUCUUGUACACACCGGAGGUCGGUGGGGAGGGCAAGGGGCACGACAGGGGGGGAUA